GUACAUCGUGCGUCCCAUGCGUGUACCAACCUCGUUCCCAGUUUCCACCUUUGUCCCUUCGGUUCUCACCGACUUUAGCCUACCUAUGGCAUAUGUUGUGAGUAUUCACCAACAUUUGGCGCCCACCAUGGGGCCGAUCGCGGCAUCAGUUGGCUUUACGCGCUGGGCGGGGCCCCGCACCUACACCACCGGAUGCAUCGCGUCCGGAUCAGUUUGCAUGCCCGUGGAGCCCGCUUUCGAUGAGGCAACACCCAUGAUGAUCGAUGUUCCUGUCCGCCAUGCGGAUUCGGACGAAGAUUCCGAUGACGAGGUGCUCCCUAGCGUCGUCGUCGCUACUAUGGAGAACCUCAACGUUCUCUUCAGCGACCUUCGUCUGAACGACGGCCCGCGCUACUUCGGCGAGGAAUUCGACGUUGAGGCGCUCUGCGCUAGCUUCAGCAGGCUCUCUAUCGCUGAGAUGCCUGCCCACGACGUAUAUCCCAGCAACGUCCUCAUCUUCGACGGCCCUCCACCGUCGGUGGGGUUCUUCACCCCAUACCACGUUGCUGCCGUCUCCAACACCGUGGAGGUGAUGGUUAUCGGCGCCGGCACCAGCACGGCUCCCGGCAAGGCCUCCGCACGCGCUGGUGAGCCCGCUGCCGCCACCGCUGAUACUCUUCGGGACGCCAUCGUCGGCCUGAAGACACCCGUCAUCGCUUCCGCAAACCCUGUGGACGCUCGGGCCUCGCUGGAGGAGGCUCGCAAGCGUAUCUUGGAGGAGGGCAUCGCCGUAGCUUCGGCGAAACGUCGGUUGGAGGCUACGCAGCGCGAGUAUAACUCCGCAUACGGCCUUACUCCGAUUUCUGAGGGGCCUAGCCAGCUUGGAUCGGUCCGCAGCCGCGGGUGGUUCAUCGCCGAGGUCCUAGGCAGCGAUCUGCCCACCUACGAGACUCCUCCGGCCAACAUGCGAGCGGCGCAGGCAACCAUGGAGGAGAUGGCAAGCCUGGAAGGCGAGGAGCACGCCUUCCAGGUGAAGCGGGUCAAGGAUCUCCUUGACGCCGCCAACCAGCAACACGCUCGGCUCGACCCCAGUCAGUCUCAAUCGGAGUCCCCGGGACCCAACUCAGGGGCACGCCGCAACCCUAGCAGCCAGCAUCAUGCAGAAGGAUCUUCCUCGCAUCGCCCUUCUGGCCGGAGGGGUGAGGGAAGCCUCGACCGGCGCUCUCAGCGCCAGAGCGAGCACACUUCGGGCUUGCGUCGCGGAGGCGAUGAGGGCGAUUCGGAAUGUGAGAUUCUUCCCCCACGAAGAACUCACGUCUCUGGCUCACGAGGCGCCUCUCCUCUCGCCACCAGGGCUGGCGCACCCGCCACCCAGGAUGAGCGGGACGCCCGCCGGCGUCUCAUCGUCCUGGCCCAGUCAGCCCUCCUAGAGGAAGACGGACCCGUCGGUCCGGCAUGCUUCGGCCCCCGGAUCCGAGGAGAGCCGUUCCCCCGAGGUUUCACCCUACCUCGGGACACACCAAAAUACAAUGGCACGGCCAAGCCAGAGGACUGGCUGAUUGACUACACCACGGCCGUCGGCAUUGCCAGGGGCAACAAGCGCGUAGCAGUCCGCUACGUGCCACUCAUGUUGACCGGAUCGGCCCGGACUUGUCUUAACAGCCUCCCGGCCGGUAGUGUCAACUCCUGGGUGGACUUCGAGGAGCCGUUCUUCCGCAACUUCACUGGCACCUACAAGCGCCCUGGCCGGCUCCGUGAGCUGGCUAUGUGCGUCCAGAAGGCCGACGAACUCCUCCGCAACUACGUCACCUGGUGGACUGAGCUCCGUAACUCCUACGAGGGGGUGCAUGAGGUACAAGCCAUCCAGUACUUCAUCGACGGCUGCCAAGACGGCACCCUCCUCAAGCACAAGCUCAUGUGCACCGAGCCCACCUCUCUGGAAGUGCUCAUGGCCAAGGCGGACAAAUACGCCACGGCCGACUCGGCGAUGCGCGUCAAGGUGACCGCCUCAGACAAGGUUGUGCCUACGCCGGCUACUCCCAAGCCGGCUGGGGACAACCGAGGCGGCCAAAACAACUACAAGCGCAAGGCGGAUCAGAUGGAUCCCCGCUCCAACAACAAGUUGGUGGCCAGCAUGGAGGGAGAAACAUCGGCUCCUCAAAGCCGGCCCUCCACGAAAGCGUCCCAACCGAAGCAACACCAACUGGCUGCCCAAGCAGUCCUUCGAGCAGCUGCUCGACGCCCCCUGCAAGAUACAUUCUGGGGCGCAACCGUCUACCCACACCCUUCGACAGUGCAGCUUUGCGCGCCGGCUGUCGCAAGGAGAUGGCUUGCCGGCUCCUCCAGGUGCGUAGGCGGCCCCUCUGCAGCGGCUCCCAACCACGCUCCGGCUCCGCCGCCGCCGCCUCGCGACGACGGUCACCACCAAGAUGACUACCCUCAUCAAGACGGAGCGUUCAUAGUCUUCACCAGCGAAGGCGACGACAAGCACAACCUGUGCCAGAGGCGGCGCGAGGUAAAUGCCACGGUCCCCCCGGUUCCCCAAUACAUGCAUUGGUCCGACAAACCGGUCACAGGGAGCCGGGUGGACCAUCCUGCGGUGAUGCCCAACCCGGGAUCAUACGCACUCGUACUCUACCCCACCUUCGCCUCCAAGAGGCUCACCUGUCGAUUCUCCCGGGUGUUGGUCGACGGCGACAGCAGCAUCAACAUUCUCUACCUCGACACUCUCCUCAAGAUCGGGCUCAAGGAGACGGACGUCCUACCAACCAGUAUUGUCUUCCACGGCAUCGUGCCUGGGCAGUCCUGCUCGCCCAUUGGCAAGAUCCAGCUGGACGUCCUCUUCGGCGACAAAGCCCACUUCCGCCGUGAGUCCAUAUGGUUCGAGGUAGUGGAUCUCAGUAGCCCGUAUCACGCGCUGCUGGGAAGACCGGCUCUCGCCGAGUUUAUGGCUAUUCCGCAUUAUGCCUACCUGAAGAUGAAGAUGCCGGGUCCCAAGGGCAUCAUCACUGUUGUUGGCGACUACAAGAAGUCGCUCGAGUGGGCCCAAGAUAGCAGCCGCCUCGCCGACGCCUUGGUGAUUGCUAAGGAGAAGCGGCAGAUCGACCAGCUCGUGGCCCAGGCUACCGAGCAGCCGGCGAUUCCUUAUCCUCCGUCCCAAUUGGCCGGCGAGGGCUCUUUCAAGCCGGCUAAAGAGACCAAGCAGGGCCCAAAUAGGAAGGCGAGCUCGUCGACUUCCUCCGUGAGAAUCGGGACAUCUUUGCAUGGUCCCCCAAGGACAUGCCGGGUGUUCCGAGGAAGUACGUCGAGCACAAACUUCACGUGCGACCGGAUGCGAAGCCGGUGAAACAACCCCUGCGCCACUUCACCGAGGGGAAGCGGCGCACGAUCGGAGAAGAAAUCACCCGGCUCCUCGCAGCCGGCUUCAUCAUGGAGGUUUUCCACUCGGACUGGCUGGCUAACCCAGUCGUGGUGCUGAAGAAGAAUAACACAUGGCGAAUGUGUAUUGACUACACUAGGCUGAAUAAGGCAUGUCUGAAAGACCCUUUCGCAUUGCCUAGGAUAGAUCAAGUGAUCGACUCCACUGCAGGCUGCGAAUUGCUGUCGUUUCUGGAUGCUUAUUCAGGCUACCAUCAAAUCAAGCUGGAUCCAGCUGAUCGCCUGAAGACCUCCUUCAUCACGCCCUUCGGGGCCUACUGCUACACCACCAUGAUGUUUGAUCUAAAGAACGCAGGUGCAAAUUCCAAUGCUGCAUGCAGCAGUGUCUACUGCCACAGAUUGGCAGAAACAUCCACGUCUAUGUGGAUGACAUCGUCGUCAAGACGAAGCAACACUUCAGCCUCCUCGACGACUUGCGGGAAACGUUCGCCAAUCUGCGCGAGUACAAGAUCUGGCUCAACCCUAAGAAGUGUGUCUUCGGGGUUCCAGGCGGCAAGCUCUUGGGGUUCUUCGUGUUCGCCCGCGGCAUCGAGGCGAACCCGGAGAAAAUCGGCACCAUCGAGCGGAUGGUGUGGCCGGCUCGAAUCCUUGACGUCCAGAAGUUCGUCGGCUGCUUGGCGUCCCUCAACCGGUUCGUCAGCCGGCUUGGCGAGAAGGCCCUUCCACUCUACCAGCUCAUGAAGAAGACAACGAAGUUCGAGUGGAACGACCAGGCGGACGAAGCCUUCCGCGACCUCAAGCGGGUAAUCUCGAGUCUGCCGAUCUUUGCAGCACCGUCUGAAAGGGAACCCAUACUCAUAUACAUCACGGCGACCACUCGCGUGGUUAGCGUAGUGUUGGUAGUUCAGUGUAAAGAGGAAGGCAAGGCCUUGCCAGUGCAACGCCCUGUCUAUUACCUUAGCGAGGUCUUGUCCGCCUCUAAGCAGAACUAUCCACAUUAUCAAAAAAUGUGUUAUGGUGUUUACCUUGCUGCAAAGAAAUUGAAGUAAUACUUCCAAGAGCAUGCCAUCACUGUGGUGAGCACCACUCCGCUUUCAGAGAUCAUGGGCAACCGUGAUGCCACGGGCAGAAUUGCCAAAUGGUCCAUCGCCAUGGCGGACCAUGAUAUUCGGUACGAGCCUCGCACCGCCAUCAAAUCACAGGUGGUGGCCGACUUCUUAGUCGACUGGGCCGAGACCCAGUUUGAGCCACCGCCUCCAGANNNNNNNNNNNNNNNNNNNNNNNNNNNNNNNNNNNNNNNNNNNNNNNNNNNNNNNNNNNNNNNNNNNNNNNNNNNNNNNNNNNNNNNNNNNNNNNNNNNNNNNNNNNNNNNNNNNNNNNNNNNNNNNNNNNNNNNNNNNNNNNNNNNNNNNNNNNNNNNNNNNNNNNNNNNNNNNNNNNNNNNNNNNNNNNNNNNNNNNNNNNNNNNNNNNNNNNNNNNNNNNNNNNNNNNNNNNNNNNNNNNNNNNNNNNNNNNNNNNNNNNNNNNNNNNNNNNNNNNNNNNNNNNNNNNNNNNNNNNNNNNNNNNNNNNNNNNNNNNNNNNNNNNNNNNNNNNNNNNNNNNNNNNNNNNNNNNNNNNNNNNNNNNNNNNNNNNNNNNNNNNNNNNNNNNNNNNNNNNNNNNNNNNNNNNNNNNNNNNNNNNNNNNNNNNNNNNNNNNNNNNNNNNNNNNNNNNNNNNNNNNNNNNNNNNNNNNNNNNNNNNNNNNNNNNNNNNCCCCAGCCUGCGCAGCAGAGGCGCGCCACGCAUCCAGGCAAUCUCCGCCUGCUGCAAGCCAGCGGGCGAGCCGGCUCAUGGACACCGGCUCCAUGCCUUCCGGCCACAAGGCCGCCACCAUCGAAGAGCCUGCGACCUGGAGCUGAGCCACAGACUCGCCCAGGGCACGCAGGCGGGCCCGAAGGCCCACCCCGAUCUCCUCCACGCUCCAGCCGGAGGUAGUAUCUACCUCCUGCCCGGCCGCGCGGCACUCCUCGCGGCUCACCUCGACGGCGGUGUCGUCCGCGAUCAGGAUCUCAGGGAAGAGACCUGGAAUGGCGGCAGCCAGGGCGUAAGAACACACCAAAAAGAGGAGACGGCCAAAAAUACUAAAAACAAGACAAGGAAGGGAGACCCACGAUGGAAGGCGCCAUCGGUCUCAUGGGAGACCUCGAGGACCUCACGCUCCCGUACCUUACUCGCAUGAUUAAGGCGGGCAACCUCCUCCUAAAGAGUCGCUGCAGACUCCAAGGCCUUGGCCAACUGCGUCCGCUUCUCGACAAGGGCCUCCUCCUUCUCCCUCAAGGCGGCGUCCUUGAGGUCCAUCUCCUUGAGAUGAAGCGACGCGAGGCGAUCCACGUCGGCGGAGUAGGAGGCCUCCUUCUCCUGCAACGUGGCACGCAGCCGCUCCAGCUAGACCCGGUCGGCCGCCUCAAGCUCGUUCUUCUCCGUCUGAAGAAGGUCCAGCUGCUCCUGGAGCCGGUUGCCGGCGUUGCGCAGGGCAUCCCGCUCUGUGGCAGCCUCGCCCAGCCGGGCUUCGAGCUCGGUGAUCCGGCUAUCAGCCCCCAGGUGCUGGGUACGCAACUCAUUAGAAGCUUGCGCCUGAGCAUCAUAAAGCUCCUGCCAGAAGAGCAAAAAAGAAACAAGAUUAAGAUUCGGCCUGGUUAAGAAUUAACUAGCCCGAUUCUCGGGGGCUACACCCAGUGGGUGCGCUAGUGCGCCCCCACUGAAGAAGUCAUAUAGGAAAAGGGCCUCCAAGAGAUUCGGACCGAUCGACGAUCGACCGGCCCAAUUCUCGAGGGCUACACCCAGUGGGUGCGCUGUCGCGCCCCCACUAACGCCAAAGGAAGAGAAAAAAGUUCAAAAAGCCAAGAAGGAAACACCUACCUAGGUGUGGGCCUCCACGCGCUCCAUGUCAUCGCACACCACGCGGGCCGACUGCUCCACCUUGGACCGGCUGCUGGCAAACAACGUCACCAGCUCCGGUACGCCAGAAAGCACGGUGCCAGCGAGCAGUCGCAGGCGGGCCAAGUUUUCCGCCCGCCACAUCCUCAUGGGCCGGCCCCCAGCCCGGCCCUCGUCUCCUGGCGCAACAGGGCCAUGCUGGGGGAUGACGAUGGCACCAGCUCCUGGUGCCGGAUCGGCAGCCGACUCGGGCGCCAUCCCGGCUGGCACUACCUCCUGGCGGGAGGCGGAUGGGUCGCGUCCUGCACAUCCAUGGUCGCCCCUGGGGCGUCAGGUGCCGUGUCCAACGCGGCUAGGUCUAACUCUAGCACGUCAGGUGCCGCCUCGGCCCUGGGAGAGUUAGGGACCGUUUCCAGGUCCACCUGCGCUGAGGCUUCCGGCCCUGAUGGCCGGGCCUCCUCAGCCCGUGGGGCCGGCCUGGAGGCAGCCUCGCUAGCUGGCUCCUUCGCACGAGCAUGUGCGGAAGGGUCCUGUCUAGCCUUCGCACGCUUCUCCACUGGCCUCUCGACCCGGCUGGGGCGAGGCUAGUCCACGGCGGCCUUCCCCGCAGUCGUGUCCCACCGGCGCUUGGACUCCGUCUCAAGCUCCCUCUGGGCAGCAUCGGCUGCCGCCCAGCCAGCCUGCUCGGCUGCGGAAGCGUGUCUUCAUCCACAUCCUCCGCCUCCCUGUCAAGCAAAACUCCUAAGGAACAAAGCUCAUCACAAGAUGGACAAAGAAAAAGAGGAGGAAAUCUUACCCCACUACCACAGGGACCUGCCUCCAGCCAGCACCGCGGCGUCUCUUGACGCUGCUUGCUCGUUGUCCGGCUGGAGGACCCGGCGCCGGCCGCUUAAAAGCCGGUCGAGAAGCUGUGGCACCCUUGCCCUUCUUCCCGGCUGCCUCAUCAGCAGCGGUCGCCCCGCCCCUUUGACGCCUGUCGUGCGUCAUUGGUGGGCUGGUGACCUCCUCCACCUCAUCAGAGUCUUCCUCGAAGGCUGCACCAGAAUAGAAUGAGGCUAUCUCGUCGUCAUCCGUCCAGUCUGCAACAGUGGGCCGUGCGUACUCACCAGACGGCUAUGUCCCUUCCGACUCCAGGAGAUUCUCCGAGCCGGCGGAGGAGCCCGAGCGUGAUUCCAUCAUGCCCUCGUCCUCAAUCUCUGAGGCGUCGGACACCUCCACAUCGGGAGCGGGUGGACGGAGGGACCCCUGCAGGUUCUCGAACAGCUAUGAAAAAGGAUUCAACCAACGGCUCAGCAAAACAACCGGCUUCAAGGCAAACAACAAAGGAGACAGAAGCCACCUACCAUCGGAGGCGGAUGAGCCCUGUUGAACGGGGACAUCCCCCACGUCCAUUCCCCCCUCUCAUCCAUGCGGGCGAUGGAGAUCAGGUUCACCCUUCGCGCUACAGCACCCGGGGUGAACCUCUUGGUGGAUAGCCGGCAUGGAUCAUGCCGACCGCCCAUCUGGCAAACCAGAUGCGGCCGCCUCUGCAGGGGCAGGAUCCGGCGGACCACCAUGGUGGUGAGAAGGUCGUGGCCAAGGAGGCCACUCUUCUCCAAAAUGUCGAGGUGGGCACAGAUAAGCGCCACCUCAGGAAUCGGCUUGGGAGUCUUCGCAUCCUAGUUUCGCCGCGUCGGCGGGGCGAUGGCGAACGAGGGCAUGUUGAGGGCGUCCUGGGCCGGGUCGGCGCUCUUCAUGUAGAAGAAACCCUUCUGCCAAUGCUUGAUGGAUUCUUGCAGAGGCAUCUAGGGGAAGCCGGACUUCGAGCGGUGAUGCACCAAAGCAGCCCCGCACGGCGUCAUUGGGCGCGGCCCUGUGAGCUUUUCCACCUCGGAUUUCUCCAUGGCGAUGGAUUGCUGUUUGAAGAAGAACAGGUUGCGCCACAGAUCGACGCGAGGCUCGAUCCCCACGAAGCCCUCGCACAGGACCACGAAGGCAGCGAGCUGCAGUAUGGCGUUCGGCGCCAGAUGAUGCGGCUGCAGGCCAAAGAAAUGGAGCCAUUCGGUGAAAAAAGAGCUAGCCGGGAGCCCGAAGCCACGGUAGAAGUGCUCGACGAAGACCACGACCUCUCCCGCAGCGGGUGCGGGAGCGGUCUCGGCGCCAGGGAGGCGCACCAAUAAUUGGGAAGCCGGGGGCAGCAGUCAAUAGUGACGAAGCGCCUUGAUGUGCCCCUCGUCGACAUCGUUGCCCAACCAGGCUCCCUGCAAGGACGCCUUCUGCGCCGAGGACUUCUUCGAGGAAGAACCGUCGGCCAUGGCUGCGGGUGACGAGAGCUCGAAGUGGUCGGUGAUGUCGCAACGACGAAGACGAAGAAGACGAAGGGCGCGAGCUCUUCUUCUCAGAGCGCAGGAAGGAAGAGAGCGUGGAUGCGGGGCAAGAAGGGGGGCGAGUGGCCUCCUCGGAACCCUCGCAUCCCAUUUAAACCCCCACGAAGUGUCGUGGGGAGGGGAUCCGGUGCGCACCGGGCCCCAUUAACCCCGUGUAUUACGGGCGGUAGCGCUUCCCUAAGCCCAACCGCCGCGGAGUAAAUCCGCAGAGGAUCUCCCGCGCGGAGGCCGAGGGGGCGUCGUGGCGGGAUCCAGGGCCCAGGCCCAGGCCCGUCAGCAGUAAUCGCCAUCAUUACGCCAGGCAGGGCCUGGCACGUGGCGUUCUCCGAGCAAGUUACGACUAGACCGAGGCGUCGCUUCGAAGCCACCCGGUUUCGAAGCCGGCGUCCUUCGUCGCGAAUAGCGGCCAAAAUAUCAAGACAAAUCAACAAGUCGGUGAGGCCGCCCGCCCGCAGGCGGCAGGCCUCGCCAGCUUCGGGGACUACUGUCGGAUGGAUAACCCCGGGGUAGGCUCAUCAAGCCUAUUCCUUCAUUUCCGGCCGAUGGACAUGAACGUAUACAGAUUCCCAAGGCCCAAGUCUUCUGGCCGGCUAGGCAUCACCUACCGGCUAGAGGACGAGGCGGCCAUCCUUCUGGCCGGCCAGGCAACCCCUCCUGGCUAGAGUCAAGGCGGCCUCCUCUUCUGAGCCGGCCUGGUCCCGCCAGCCAGACUAGGGAGGAGGCAACCGCACUUAAGCCGGCUAGCCAAGCAGGCUAGCCAGCCAAAGAUCAUAGGUUACAUCAGAUCGUAGGUCAGGAUAAGACCUCACGAUUAAAGGUAGCUACGCGUCAGCAAAGGUACUGGAUCGGGGCGCCCGACAGGUACGAGCAUCGGCGGCCACGCCGCUGACCUACCCCGGCUCUGAUACAUCACCUAGCAUAGUGUCGGACUGUCACACUCCCACUCCAUUACUGCACUCGGCAUGGGGAACAGUGGAGGCGGUCGUACUACCUGCCCAUGAAGAAUCUAGCGGGGCGACGCUUGACGUACAACGCAUGCUCGGCGUCAACCUUAUGUGAGAGCCUCAUUGGCCAGCCGGCGGGUCCCACGGGCAAUCGAGACCAUGCAGCCGGCGGGCCCCUCAAGCGACAAGACAAGACUCUUGUGGGCCCCUGGCUAGCCGGCGAGGCUGCCAGCCGGGUCCCACACUCGUACCCUUUAUCCAUAUUGUAGGCCAGCGGAUUCCUCUUUAAAACCCCCCGGUCGCCCUUCAUGCAGGGGGCGAUCAUUCACCAGUCAUACAACACAAAACCUUCACCAACCACAGAGACGAGCCGGCUGCUCCCCUCUUCCUCCUCUCAACACAUCUCCAGGAGCGACAUUGUACUCUGUUCAUAUACAUCAAACACUCCGGCAGGAUUAGGGGUAUUAUCUCUACGGAGAGCCCUGAACCUGGGUACAUCGUGUGUCUCAUGCGUGUACCAACCUCGUUCCCAGUGUCCACCUUUGUCCCUUCGGUUCUCACCGACUUUAGCCUACCUAUGGCAUAUGUUGUGAGUAUUCACCGACAAUGUUGGUUCGCAAUUUAUUAAAAUUGUUACUAGAUGGUUGUAUAUGUUCACGACCUCGUAACAUUUAUAUGUUAACUAGUUAAUUGUCAUUGCAAAUAUACAUAAUCACCUUCUUCUUCUUCUUCUUCUCAAACAAUGCUAGAGUGAAGUUGGUAGUCGGUGGUGAUGAGCUCCACCUUCUUUUGCACCUUACCAUGUUUGCCCCUCUCGUCCUCGUUGAACAACACGGUCAGUAGCGUAUUUUCUUCUUCUCAAAUUGGUUACGACACUCCAAUAGCUACCCGUUGGAACUAGUAAUCCUUAGUGGUGAUGCUCGGGGUAGCUGCUCGCCCUUGUUGGUGGUGGCGCAACGAUGAUGUCGAGCAGGGCCAAGAGGUUGUUGACGAUCUUGAUUUCCUCCACAUGAUCAUUAUUGCUAUUGCUUGGGGGCGUCUUUCAUCAAUGUUAUUGUGACUACCAACUUCUUCAUGUUCAUCUUCUCCUCCUAAGUACACAUAUCAAUUAAUUCUAAUUCAUUAUUAGAUCAUCUUACUAAUUUAUGUCUACUCAAAAUAAAAAGGAAAAGUAAAAUUAGAUUAAUUGAUCUCGUGGUUUGCUUGCAGACCCAAAUUUAAAAUCAGAAUAAAUUGUUGUGAUCACAACAAAAUAAAUAUGACAUAAGUGUUUAAGUGUAACCAUACAACCCAUGUUCAAGAAUUCAUCAAAUUAACAAGUUAACUUACCGAUUAAUCCCUACUCGGAUCAUCGGAUAGCCGAUUAACGGAUAAAUAACUCGAUUAAUUGAUUAAAUGCUUGAUUGAAUUGUUGAUCAACCUAUUAAUAAUUGAUUAAAUGCUUGAUUGAAUUGUUGAUUAACCUAGUAAUUAUCUAUUAUUAAUCUAUUAAUCCCUUACUUGGCAGCCAACCGAACAGCUGUGAGUUAAUGAUUUCUUCAACAAUGCCUUUGUUUGGUUAAUUCAAGGUAUCCUGAAAUAUCAUUGUAUAAUCGUAUUGGAGGCAAACGUGAAUUUAUAGAACAAAAAUAAGAAAACCAAUAUAGCUUAUUGUAUACAGAGUUGGUAUCUUGCAAUCAAAGUAUCAUCACUACAACAAUACAUGAGGGAAACGUAAACAAGACUUAACUUGUUUAUUGUUCAUCCACUACUCCAUGUACAAGUUCUUGGUGGUGUAUCAAUGUAGACUGACGUGAAUGUAAAUUUUAGAUGUGGCAGGGUCGCUGGACUAACCAUUUCAAACGAGAGUUCAUAUACAAGAAUUGGAGAAGACAUCU
rnacentral:lncRNA from 1 species